rnacentral:misc_RNA from 1 species
CAGGAUCACCAGGUAGCAUCCCUAAUUGACAUAACCCGCCCGCUGGUACAAGCCAACACGGGACAGGCAAGUCUUUCAAGGUGAUGCGCCACUCUUUGACAAACCCUCCUGAUCCCAAUGGCAAAGCCGAUUCAGGCAAGACAGUAGGUCAUGUUAACUUUGACAAACCCUCCUGAUGGCAAAGCCAAAUCAGGCAAGACAGUAGGCAUUGUUAACUUUGACAAACCCUCCUGAUGGCAAGGCCAAUUCAGGCAAGACAGUAUGCAUUGUUAACUUUGACAAACCCUCCCUAUGGCAAAGCCGUUUCAGGCAAGACAGUAAGCAUUGUUAACUUUGACAAACCCUCCCGAUGGCAAAGCCGUUUCAGGCAAGACAGUAAGCAUUGUUAACUUUGACAAACCCUCCCGAUGGCAGGGCCAAAUCAGGCAAGACAGUAAGCAUUGUUAACUUUGACAAACCCUCCCGAUGGCAAGGCCAAACCAGGAAAGAUAGCAGUCAUGUUAAGAGAGGCACAAACGCUAAAUGAGGGCAAAACAAGGAUCCCAUGAGACCCCAUGCCCACAUCGUUUUCCAUAUCCAGGAUACCAAGCAACGCUCAAUGGGCCACAACAUCAACGCAAGCAUAAUGUUGUGGAUCAAAGAGACCGCUUUGUGGUUCAUCCGAUGCCACAAAAAUGGCACGAGACGAAAUCAACUGUAAUCAACCAAGACAAUACCAAUGCUUAGGUACGCAACACAGAAACCCACAAUUUGGCCAGGCAAUAGAU